CCCGAGAUGAAAUAACCUCAACAAGGAUUCUGUUAGAUGUCUAGUGAUACAGCCAUUCCAUAGAAUUAUUGUUUGGCUGUUAGGAAAAAAGCUCUCCACAUACAGCCAGGAGAGCUGUUUACGCCAUGUCAUUAAGUUAAGAAGUGAAGGACGAGUAGUCUGCACUGUGUGAACACACAAUUUCUGUAGCAGCUUCACAUGCAUGUGCAGGCGGCAUGGGCAGCUCGUCCGGACACAACCCAGCAUUCCCUGCGCAGGUUUCACGGCAGUGUCGCUGGCCGGGUGUCUCUGGCCCAAGCUGCCCAUGACAUCGGGCUGCCUCCGGAGAGCUAUGGCCACCUCAGAGGAAGUUGCUUGCUGACACUCAAGGGAAGUCCCAUGGCCAACAGGGAGCCCUAGGCCAUG
rnacentral:lncRNA from 1 species